AUUAAUUCCUCCCACUGUCAGCUGGAAGCCAACCCUGGCUGAGCCCUGCACUGGCCAGAGGCAACUGAGUGUGAGCCAGUCCAGGGUCAGAUCCUGGGCUGAUGCCACCUGAGGGCGGGGUGGGGGCGUGGCCUCCGUGGACAUGGGAGACUCCAGGUGCAGGAGAGGGGGAGGUGGACUUCCUCUUGGUCUUCCCAAAUUCUUCAGGAGACUCUAGUCAUGACAUUUCCCGGCUUGGUGGUAACAGAAGAGUCUCCUCCAGUUCCCUUGAAGAAUCCACCUUCCUGCAGGGUUGGGGGAGCGCAGAAUGGGAGGAAGAUACAAAUACCAAUUUUAUAGCAAGAAUGCAAAAAGAGGCCAGCGCGGUGGCUCGAGCCUGGAAUCCCAGCACUUUGGAAGGCGAGCUGGGCGGAUCACUUGAGGUCAGGAGUUCGAGACCAGCCUGACCAACAUGGAGAAACCUCAUCUCUAUGAAAAAUACAAAAAAAAUUAGCCAGGCAUGGUGGCAUGCACCUAUAAUCCUAGCUGAGGCAGGAGAAUUGCUUGAACCUGG
rnacentral:lncRNA from 1 species